rnacentral:misc_RNA from 1 species
GCAAUCAGUAGGACCAGUCUAAUAAAUGCGUAUGUCGUCAUCGGUUUUUGUGUUGGUUCACAAAAUACUGCUUGUGUCGGUACACGUGUUUUUGUUUAGAAGCACAAAACUGGUCAGCUUUUUAAACUAAGAGAAAGAUGGCAAAGAGUAUGAGGAGUAAAAAGCGUCGAAAGAUGAGAAACCAAAAAAGGAUCAAAUGGGCUCCAAAAGUGAAUGCUAGAAUGCAGAGGAUAGCUGAGGCACUAAACAGCAAAGACAUUGACAUAACUCAGCUUGUUACAGUGAAGACAGUCAGUGAAAUAAAGAAAUCUGAAACCAAGGAAAAAACUGAUGUGAAGACAGUCAGUGAAAUAAAGAACUCUGAAACAAAGGAAAAAACUGAUGAUGCCCAUAUGGACGUUGACGUAGAAGUGAAAUCACGGGAUGCGAAAACACUCAAGGAUGAGGACGGACAUUACCCUGUAUGGAUGAAUCAGAGAGCAGUUAAAAAACACAGACAGAAAAUCAACAAAAUAAAGAGAGUCAAAAAGAAAGGUCGCAACAAGAGAGGUGCAUGGUGAUGUGGAACUGUUCUCCAUUUCUUUAAAACUGCUUCAGAAAAACAACAGCCAACUGUGAUGUUGUGUCUAUUUGUGAUGUGAAAGGAACAAAUCGAACAUCAAGUAAAUUGGUUGUGUUUCAUCCCACUCAUGAUAAAGCUACUGCAUUUAACAUGUUUCUGUAACUUUCAUAUGGAUGGGGGAAUACAUGCAGGUUAAAUUAAAUAUGAAAACGGUACACGGUACCUGUUUAUGUAACAUUUCUGUAACUUUCAUACGGAUGGGGAUACAUGCAGGUUACUAAAUAUGAAAACGGUACUACAAGGUACCUGUUUAUAUAACAUUUCUGUAACUUUCAUACGGAUGGGGAUACAUGCAAGUUAAAGAAAUAUAAAAACGGUACAUGGCACUUGUUUAUAUAACGUUUCUGUAACUUUCAUACGGAUGGGAAUACAUGCAGGUUAAACUAAAUAUAAAAACAGUACACGGCACUUGUUUAUGUAACGUUUCUGUAAUUUGUAUACGGAUGGGGAUACAUGCAGGUUAAACUAAAUAUAAAAACGGUACAUGGCACUUGUUUAUAUAACGUUUCUGUAACUUUCAUACGGAUGGGGAUACAUGCAGGUUAAACUAAAUAUAAAAACGGUACACGGUACUUGUUUAUACGUUUCUGUAAUUUGUAUAUGGAUGGGGAUACAUGCAGGUUAAACUAAAUAUAAAAACGGUACACGGUACUUGUUUAUACGUUUCUGUAAUUUGUAUAUGGAUGGGGAUACAUGCAGGUUAAACUAAAUAUAAAAACGGUACACGGUACUUGUUUAUACAACGUUUCUGUAAUUUGUAUACGGAUGGGAAUACAUGCAGGUUAAACUAAAUAUAAAAACGGUACACGGUACUUGUUUAUGUAACGUUUCUGUAACUUUCAUACGGAUGGGAAUACAUGCAGGUUAAACUAAAUAUAAAAACGGUACACGGCACUUGUUUAUAUAACGUUUCUGUAACUUUCAUACGGAUGGGAAUACAUGCAGGUUAAACUAAAUAUAAAAACGGUACAUGGCACUUGUUUAUAUAACGUUUCUGUAACUUUCAUACGGAUGGGAAUACAUGCAGGUUAAACUAAAUAUAAAAACGGUACACGGUACUUGUUUAUGUAACGUUUCUGUAAUUUGUAUACGGAUGGGGAUACAUGCAGGUUAAACUAAAUGUAAAUGUGAAAACUGUACAUGGCACUUGUUUAUGUAACAUGUCUGUAGUUUUCAUACGGAUGGGGAUACAUGCAGGUGAAACUAAAUGUGAAAAUAGUACAUGGCACUUGUUUAUGUAACAUGUUUCUGUAAUAUGAAAACAGUACAAUGUGCAUGCAUCGGUUUAUAGAUAACCAGUUGACAAAAUAAUAUUAGGAGGAAAUGUGGUUGUAAAUAAACUUAUUGUGUAAUUCUUGAACAUACGCUUCAGAUUCACAUGCCAGUACGGUGUGUGUGUGUGUAUAUGCACCACAUGAAUAUAGACAUCAUGUACACAUGUAUACCAGAUAUGUUGGGUCUGUUGUACAUGUGUGUGUUUGUGAGAUUUCAUUUGUAAUGAAGAUGUUAGUUAUUUUGAUCAACCUCGAGUUGCUGGUUGACAUACAUGUACAGCUGUUUACAUUGAAACUGAAAUAAAUAUAUUCUGAUUGA